AGAGUUUGAUCCUGGCUCAGGGUGAACGCUGGCGGCGUGCUUAAGACAUGCAAGUCGAACGCGGUCUUCGGACCGAGUGGCGCACGGGUGAGUAACACGUAACUGACCUACCCAGAAGUCACGAAUAACUGGCCGAAAGGUCCGCUAAUACGUGAUGUGGUGAUGCACCGUGGUGCAUCACUAAAGAUUCAUCGCUUCUGGAUGGGGUUGCGUUCCAUCAGCUGGUUGGUGGGGUAAAGGCCUACCAAGGCGACGACGGAUAGCCGGCCUGAGAGGGUGGCCGGCCACAGGGGCACUGAGACACGGGUCCCACUCCUACGGGAGGCAGCAGUUAGGAAUCUUCCACAAUGGGCGCAAGCCUGAUGGAGCGACGCCGCGUGAGGGAUGAAGGUUUUCGGAUCGUAAACCUCUGAAUCUGGGACGAAAGAGCCUUUGGGCAGAUGACGGUACCAGAGUAAUAGCACCGGCUAACUCCGUGCCAGCAGCCGCGGUAAUAC
rnacentral:rRNA from 1 species